CCCACAGCCACGGACACCAGUGUACACUCUACUGUAUCAGACAGAUGGUCUCUCAACCUUCUAGUCAUAACACACACACACACACACACACACACACACACACACACACACACACACGCGUACAAACAACAACAUGAAGUUAGUGGUAAGUCACCACCAGGCUCUGCAACUGUAACUACUAUGAUUACUCCGUGUGGCUGAGAGGAAAAAACAGAGACACAGACAGUCCCACGUGCCUCUUGAUUGGUUGCUGCAUUCAGGGCGUGGUCUAGCCGUGUGUGUCACACAGACACAGACGCUGUAAUUAGUCUCAGGAGGUGCACAGGUGCAGUACAGUGAUCCUACAUUCGGAGUACUGUUGGAGAAGUGUGUUUGUGCACAUCUGUAUUACUCACAUUAUGGGGACCAAAGUCUGUUUAAACAGUCGAGAUCAGCCUUCUUUGUGGAGACAGUUACCUGAGCCCCAUAAUGCUAACGUCACACUAUGGACACCAGUGGAGACUGUGGCAAAACAAAACGGCUGUGACCAUGUGCAGUGGCUCUGGGUGUGCAGGCCAACUGAUCAGGUGUUUUUGACCAAGAUUUUGGCUUGGAAUGAUUACGUAACCACGGGUUACUGCCUAUCCCAGCAUGCUUUGAGCCAGAGACGCGGCACACCCUGGACAGACUGGCCGUAUAUCAGAGGACACUGAUAACUGGGGGCAAUUUAGAGUCUCCAUACAACCAGCUUUACAGAGAGGAGAAAACCAAAUGCAUCUGGGCAGGUCAUGCACACUAAUGCAUAAUUAAAUCAAAGCCUUCUUGAUGCUUUUUAAUGCUUAGAAAUCAGAUGACCUCGGUUAGAUAGUUAAUGCUUAUUCAUCUUAUCAUACAGAAGCAGUCCAUUAACUGCUGAUGAAACUGAUGAAUCAUAAUGAGUCAUGGACCAAUACUAUAAUAUGUGUGUAUACAAGACCUCUGAUGUGAAGUAUCAAAUGUCCCUCCUUUGGAUGUCAGUUAUGGACGAGACACUGAAUGUUUACAGCUGUGUGAGGGUCAGUGGUUGUAGCUGCCUCUGACGUACGGAUGUUACUCUCACUGGACGGAUAUUCCAGCAUCUCAGUCGCACGGAAACGUCGCCGCACGGCCUGAUUAGUAGUUUUGUAUUUUCUACUUUGUAUUUUUUCAUUUCAUUUUGACUUUUUGUUCUUAAUUUAGAGAGACUGUGUUAGUGUCAGUUUACUUUUGAUUGUUUGAAAAUGUUUUUAGUUUAGGUUAGUGUUAUUUUUAGUCUUUGUAAGUAUUAGUGUAUUCAGAGCAUUUGCCAGAAAUAAGAUUUAGGAGACUCGGUGCAGGUUUACAAAGGAAACACGGAACUUUUCUAAAAGCUUUUGACUCAUAGUCUUGCAGACAUCCAAAGUCAAUAAACACUGGCACCAAAUCAUCAUCAUGCAAGCUGUGAUAUAUAUUUUGCUUAAUCAGUCUUGCAAAUACUAAAAGUAGGGAUAUUCUCUAUAUCAGGGUG